AUGGAGCCGGCGACGAUGGCGUGGACGGCGGGGCUGGUGGGCGCCGGCCUGGUCUACUGGUUUGUGUGGGUGAUGGGCGCGGCGGAGGUGAAGGGGAAGCGGGCGGUGGAUCUCAAGAUGGGAUCCAUCACGCGGGACAAGGUGCAGGACAAGUACACGCAGUACUGGUCCUUCUUCCGCCGCCCCAAGGAGACGGCCACCACGCAGGCCUCCGCCGACAAGGUGCCCGCCUUCGUCGACACCUUCUACAACCUCGUCACCGACAUCUACGAGUGGGGCUGGGGCCAGUCCUUCCACUUCUCGCCCUCGCUCCCCGGCCGCUCCCACCGCGACGCCACCCGCGUCCACGAGGAGCGCGUCGCCGACCUGCUGGGGGCCAAGCCGGGCCACCGCGUGCUCGACGUCGGCUGCGGCGUCGGCGGGCCCAUGCGCGCCAUCGCGGCGCACUCCGGCGCCCGCGUCGUCGGCAUCACCAUCAACGAGUACCAGGUGAACCGCGCCCGCGCGCACAACCGCAAGGCCGGGCUGGACGCGCAGUGCGAGGUGGUGUGCGGCAACUUCAUGGCCAUGCCCUUCGACGACGCCUCCUUCGACGGCGCCUACUCCAUCGAGGCCACCUGCCACGCGCCCAGGCUGCAGGACGUGUACGGCGAGGUGUACCGCGUGCUCAUGCCGGGGCGGCUCUACGUGUCCUACGAGUGGGUGACCACGCCGCUGUACCGCGCCGACGACCCGGCGCACGUGGAGGCCAUCCACGGCAUCGAGCGCGGCGACGCGCUCCCGGGGCUGCGCCGGCAGGACGAGAUCGCGUCGAUCGCGCAGGAGGUCGGGUUCGAGGUGGUGCAGGAGCUGGACCUGGCCCUCCCACCCUCGCUGCCAUGGUGGACGCGGCUCAAGAUGGGGCGCCUCGCCUACUGGCGCAACUCGCUGGUGGUGCGCGUGCUCACCCUGCUCCGGAUCGCGCCCAAGGGCGUGGUGGAGGUGCACGAGAUGCUGUACGAGACCGCGCAGCACCUCACCCUCGGCGGCGAGACCGGCAUCUUCUCGCCGAUGCACAUGGUGGUCCUCCGCAAGCCCGUCGCCGACGCCGCCGAAUAG
rnacentral:rRNA from 1 species